GACGAACGCUGGCGGCGUGCCUAAUACAUGCAAGUAGAACGCUGAAGAGAGGAGCUUGCUCUUCUUGGAUGAGUUGCGAACGGGUGAGUAACGCGUAGGUAACCUGCCUUGUAGCGGGGGAUAACUAUUGGAAACGAUAGCUAAUACCGCAUAACAAUGGAUGACUCAUGUCAUUUAUUUGAAAGGGGCAAAUGCUCCACUACAAGAUGGACCAGGGUUGUAUUAGCUAGUAGGUGAGGUAACGGCUCACCUAGGCGACGAUACAUAGCCGACCUGAGAGGGUGAUCGGCCACACUGGGACUGAGACACGGCCCAGACUCCUACGGGAGGCAGCAGUAGGGAAUCUUCGGCAAUGGGGGCAACCCUGACCGAGCAACGCCGCGUGAGUGAAGAAGGUUUUCGGAUCGUAAAGCUCUGUUGUAAGUCAAGAACGAGUGUGAGAGUGGAAAGUUCACACUGUGACGGUAGCUUACCAGAAAGGGACGGCUAACUACGUGCCAGCCGCCGCGGUAACAC
rnacentral:rRNA from 1 species